UCGACUGCUGUAGGUUGAGGUU
rnacentral:sRNA from 1 species